rnacentral:snRNA from 1 species
GUGCUUCCUUCAGCAGCACAUAUACUAAAAUUGAACAAUACAGAGAAGAUUAGAAUAGCCCCUGCACAGGGAUGACAAGCAAAUUAGUGAAGUGUUCCAUAUUUUU